UACGUAGGGUGCAAGCGUUGUCCGGAAUUAUUGGGCGUAAAGAGCUCGUAGGCGGUUUGUCGCGUCUGCUGUGAAAACUCGGGGCUUAACUCCGGGCCUGCAGUGGGUACGGGCAGACUAGAGUGCGGUAGGGGAGACUGGAAUUCCUGGUGUAGCGGUGAAAUGCGCAGAUAUCAGGAGGAACACCCGUGGCGAAAGCGGCCUCUCGGUC
rnacentral:rRNA from 1 species